GUGCACGCUGGCGGUAGGCCUAACACAUGCAAGUCGAACGGCAGCACAGUAAGAGCUUGCUCUUACGGGUGGCGAGUGGCGGACGGGUGAGGAAUACAUCGGAAUCUACUUUUUCGUGGGGGAUAACGUAGGGAAACUUACGCUAAUACCGCAUACGACCUACGGGUGAAAGCAGGGGAUCUUCGGACCUUGCGCGAUUGAAUGAGCCGAUGUCGGAUUAGCUAGUUGGCGGGGUAAAGGCCCACCAAGGCGACGAUCCGUAGCUGGUCUGAGAGGAUGAUCAGCCACACUGGAACUGAGACACGGUCCAGACUCCUACGGGAGGCAGCAGUGGGGAAUAUUGGACAAUGGGCGCAAGCCUGAUCCAGCCAUACCGCGUGGGUGAAGAAGGCCUUCGGGUUGUAAAGCCCCUUUGUUGGGAAAGAAAAGCAGCAGGUUAAUACCCCGCUGUUCUGACGGUACCCAAAGAAUAAGCACCGGCUAACUUCGUG
rnacentral:rRNA from 1 species